CCUACGGGUCGCACCAGUGGGGAAUAUUGCACAAUGGGCGCAAGCCUGAUGCAGCCAUGCCGCGUGUGUGAAGAAGGCCUUCGGGUUGUAAAGCACUUUCAGCGGGGAGGAAGGCGUUAAGGUUAAUAACCUUAGCGAUUGACGUUACCCGCAGAAGAAGCACCGGCUAACUCCGUGCCAGCAGCCGCGGUAAUACGGAGGGUGCAAGCGUUAAUCGGAACUACUGGGCGUAAAGCGCACGCAGGUGGUCUGUCAAGUCGGAUGUGAAAUCCCCGGGCUCAACCUGGGAACUGCAUUCGAAACUGGCAGGCUAGAGUCUUGUAGAGGGGGGUAGAAUUCCAGGUGUAGCGGUGAAAUGCGUAGAGACCUGGAGGAAUACCGGUGGCGAAGGCGGCCCCCUGGACAAAGACUGACGCUCAGGGGCGAAAGCGUGGGGGGCAAACAGGAUUAGAUACCCGAGUAGUC
rnacentral:rRNA from 1 species